CCCAGUCACAUUGCCGAGGCCUGAAACAGAAGGGCCAACACUGCCAAUACUGACUCUUGGCAUAAAUGUCAUUGUCGAUAAAAGCCUUUGUAUGAAGUGCUUGUAAUUAUAUUUCAGUCCAUCACAGAAACUCAGAACACAAGAGUUGAAGGAUUUCCUGCCCCAUUUUGCAUCCAAACUCUCUAUAUUUUGGGCAAAUGGGGAACAGCGACGCUGCUGGCUGUGAGCGGUACUACAGGCACCCAGGAGCUACGGGCAGAGAAAUGUAGCGCAGGCGCAGUCUCGUCACCCCGCUACGUGUUACGUCACCGCGCAUAUAUUGCGUGCAAUUGUAACGGGGAUGUGCCGGGGACCGAGGAACCGCAAGUUAAAGGCGCAGACAGACGGUUACGCAGUGACUGGAGACUGUGUAACGAAAUGCAGGAGUAGCAGUUAUUUUCAGACAUCCCCUAAGAGGACGUGGGGGUUGGGGAUAAAGGAGUUUUUGGGCCCGACACGUAGUGCGCCGGGGCGGGGCUUCUGAGUGAGGCGUACGCAGAGUACGUACUGACGCGGCUGCGCUGUGCGUUCCGGAAGGGGGCGGAUCCCAUGAGGCAAAGCCAUGCCCCGUACUGAGGAACUCGGCAAGAAGCCGCCAUAUGCCCGGCGGGACCGCAAGUCCGACACUCGGGAGCCCGGGGCCGGGAUGGAGCCGCUAGUCCGGGCCGGAGCUUCCCAUUCGGGGGAGAAUGAAGCCUCUACCCCAUUCACCUCCGCAUCAGAGUCUGAGGGGGACACGGAGGAGCCGCAACCGAGCCAAAAUGCCCAGUUCUCCUCCAUGUCCUUUGAGGAACUGAUCCAUUUGCAGAAUAAUGUCGGCACCAAACUCUUCUACAAAGCGGCCGGGGGCAGGAAGGCUCCAGGGGGGGCAACGAGAGCCAAGAGGCCGGCGCUGGACAAGAACCAACCCGCCGAGGUCUCCUCCAAGCAGCCCGUGGGGUUUCUGCGCAAGGUGGUCCCAGCCAAGAAGCAGAUGCGCAGGGACCCCCGAUUCGAUGAUCUCUCCGGCGAAUACAAAGCAGAGGUGUUUGAGAAGACCUACAAGUUCCUGGGGGAUAUAAAGAAGCAGGAGAAGGAUAUGGUGCAGAAGAGGCUACAGAAAGCCCGGGACCCUGAGCUGAAGGAGAAGUUGGGGCAACUGGCAAGGCGACUGGAUGAGCAGGAGGCUGCGGCCCAGAUACGGCACAAACAGAGAGAGCGGGAACUGGAGUUUAAGAAACAGCAGAGAGAACUGGCUCAGCAGGGCAAGAAACCCUUCUACCUGAAGAGAAGUGACCUGCGCAAGAUGGAACUGGCGGAUAAAUACAAAGAGCUGAAGAAGAAGGGGAAACUGGAGCAUUUCCUGAGCAAGAAGAGGAAGCGGAACUCUCACAAGGACCGGAGGAAACUUCCCAGCCUGCAAUAGGGCUGUCACUGGGCUGCCGCCAUCUUGGCUCCUACUGGCCCAGGGCUGGUCUGACUGAGGCUGCCUUUCUGAUUGGUGGGAAUUGGCUUCAGCACCUGCGCCAUUUUGUCUGGACUACUGACACCAACUGAUCUUUACCCUGGCAGGGGCAUCUCCUUGGAAUAUAUCAGUUGCUUGCCCUGGCAGGGGCAUUUUCUUGAAAUAUCAGUUGUUCUGUUACCCUUGCCUCUGUUUGGCCUCUCUCCAUAGGAGUGCCCCCCCAGUAAUGGGCACAGGUUGGCACCUGGAUCACGAAGGAGAUCCCACACUGCACAAGUUACUGUUCUGUCUGGAAAUUUCAUCUGAGAGAGAUCCACAUGGUCUGUGGGCCAAUAAGAUCAGGGGCAAUACAGUGACUGCACGGACCAAUCCGUGUCUGUGGGACUUACCUGCCGCCCCAGAGCUGUGAGAGUGUUCGUUAUUGCUGAGAGCGGCCAAUCAGAAUGUGACUGUAGGGACAGCAGCGCCGCUCCAUAAGGAUAAUGUCAGGCCCGGUAGAACAAGCGCUUCCUAGUAAUGGGGCAAUAAAUGCAGCCAUCGGGGGCGCUGCCAUUCUGCUUGUCCUGUUGCAUCACAUGACUUCAUUAAAUGUUCUGUUAUUUCACAAAGAA